AACGCGAAGAACCUUACCUGGGUUUGACAUCCACUGACAGUCCUAGAGAUAGGAUUUCUCCUUCGGGAGCAGUGAGACAGGUGCUGCAUGGCUGUCGUCAGCUCGUAUCGUGAGAUGUCGGGUUAAGUCCCUUAACGAGCGCAACCCUUAUCCUUAGUUGCCAUCAUUUAGUUGGGCACUCUACGGAGACUGCCGGUGUUAAACCGGAGGAAGGCGGGGAUGACGUCAAGUCCUCAUGGCCCUUAUGUCCAGGGCUACACACGUGCUACAAUGGCCGGUACAAAGGGUAGCCAACCCGCGAGGGGGAGCUAAUCUCAGAAAGCCGGUCUCAGUUCGGAUUGAAGUCUGCAACUCGACUUCAUGAAGCUGGAAUCGCUAGUAAUCGCGGAUCAGAACGCCGCGGUGAAUACGUUCCCGGCCUUGUACACACCGACAUA
rnacentral:rRNA from 1 species